UACGAAGGGGGCUAGCGUUGCUCGGAAUCACUGGGCGUAAAGGGCGCGUAGGUGGCUUGGCAAGUUGGGUGUGAAAGCCCAGGGCUCAACCCUGGAAUUGCACUCAAGACUGCUUUGCUUGAAUUCGGUAGAGGUUGGUGGAAUUCCCAGUGUAGAGGUGAAAUUCGUAGAGAUUGGGAAGAACACCCGUGGCGAAGGCGGCCAACUGGACCGACAUUGACACUGAGGCGCGAAAGCGUGGGGAUCAAACAGG
rnacentral:rRNA from 1 species